rnacentral:rRNA from 1 species
GACGAACGCUGGCGGCGUGCUUAACACAUGCAAGUCGAACGGAGAGGCCCUGCUUUUGUGGGGUGCUCGAGUGGCGAACGGGUGAGUAACACGUGAGUAACCUGCCCUUGACUUUGGGAUAACUUCAGGAAACUGGGGCUAAUACCGGAUAGGAGCUCCUGCUGCAUGGUGGGGGUUGGAAAGUUUCGGCGGUUGGGGAUGGACUCGCGGCUUAUCAGCUUGUUGGUGGGGUAGUGGCUUACCAAGGCUUUGACGGGUAGCCGGCCUGAGAGGGUGACCGGCCACAUUGGGACUGAGAUACGGCCCAGACUCCUACGGGAGGCAGCAGUGGGGAAUAUUGCACAAUGGGCGGAAGCCUGAUGCAGCAACGCCGCGUGCGGGAUGACGGCCUUCGGGUUGUAAACCGCUUUCGCCUGUGACGAAGCGUGAGUGACGGUAAUGGGUAAAGAAGCACCGGCUAACUACGUGC